CUGCCCCUCAGCUGGGCUCCUUCGUUCCGCCCGCUCGUUCCCCGAGGGAGGGAGGAAGGGAGGGCGGCCCGGCCCCGCCGGCGCCAGCAGGGACGUUAGAGCAAGCUGGAAGCGCUCCCAGUUUGGGGACAUCCAGCAGGACUCCCCAGAUGAAGUUACAUUGAAUCUGUUGUAACAGAUUCAUGGACUUUUUACCCUACAUUCAUCCAAGGGCUGAAAUUCCUGAAGAAUUGUCAUCAGCGUCCUGAGUCUGGCUUCAACCUGGGACCAAGGCUGUGGCACAUCACAGUGGGACUGAUCCUUAAUUCCAGCCCUUUCACCUGCUGCAGGAAGCUUCCAAGAUUACAGUCUUCACUUUAAAAACAGUAGGAUUGCUAAACUGAAACAAGGCACUCGAUUUUGCAGACUCUUGGCUCUGGAGAGGGGGGAAGAAGGCUGUAUUCAGAUAAAGCUGUCCUCAACCAAGAGAAACUGUUUACUUAAGGAGUCCCACCUAACCAUAGAGGUCUAAGUGCUACUAAAAGCGUGGUUUUUAUAUGUUUAUGACAAUACACCUAAGGGCAGUGUUGACUGAAACAACAAAGGCGAUUCAGCAAAUUUCUGGAGGCAGAAGGCUGUGACCCUGCAGCAUCAAUGCCAACAUGAAGGAGCACCGACAGCCCCUGGAGUACCUGAUGUAACCACGUGUCCAGAAUUCUUCUCCCAGAGGCCUGAUGAAUGGCAGUCUCCCCAUGCUGUCAUCCUUCUCUGAUGACUUCUCCAGUUUACUGUCUUCCAUUGCAUUAAAACAUCUGGCUUUAAUAGCACCUCUGUAAUACAUCCCUCAACAUCUGUGAAGAGGAGCAAGGGAUAAAAGGCACUGUUUCUUGCCUUUCCAUUGCUACUGCUCCUUUCUCCCAUAAAUUACAGAAAAAAUACCAUUACCUAGCUUCUCACUACCAUAAGUGACUGUCAGAAUGUCUCGGUAGGAUUUCAGCCUUACCAAUUACACACGCACAACCUUAACAACCUGACACACGCAAAUAUUAACCAUGGGUUUUAUCUGACAUGUCUUCUGGAGAUCCAAUCAGCUCAAAGUAGCAAAUUCAUCAUGUCAGUGCCACCGAGGAUAAGAUAAAACAUAAUCUGCAGUUUCAGUAAUACUGUUCUGAUCUUUAAUUCUAGCCAAGAAUAUAACCCGUAGUUGCUAUUUUGUCUCAGGGCCAAGUGUUCAGUUAGGUGAAGAAAAAGUACUGCCUAGAACAUUAAAUAUAUUACUUUGACUGUAUCUAUAGCCUGCCUGGUUGUUGAUAUAUAGAAAUAACAGAAACUUUCUUAAUUCCAAGCUUGUAGGAGUGAGAAACAUGGCAUUUCUCCAGGGCCUCACA